rnacentral:rRNA from 1 species
CAGUCGCCACGGUAAUACGUAGGUGGCAAGCGUUGUCCGGAAUUAUUGGGCGUAAAGGGCUCGCAGGCGGUUUCUUAAGUCUGAUGUGGAAGCCCCCGGCUCAACCGGGGAGGGUCAUUGGAAACUGGGAAACUUGAGUGCAGAAGAGGAGAGUGGAAUUCCACGUGUAGCGGUGAAAUGCGUAGAGAUGUGGAGGAACACCAGCGGCGAAGGCGACUCUCUGGUCUGUAACUGACGCUGAGGAGCGAAAGCGUGGGGAGCGAACGGGAUUAGAUACCCCAGUAGUCCCUGUCUCUUAUAC